rnacentral:guide_RNA from 1 species
CAUACAAGAGUCAUAUACGCGAGAAAGU